GGGCUCUAUGAAACAGUGCCAAAUCAAGAGCAACCCCCAUCCCUACUUGAGUUCUUCUUCUCCUUCAAUAUAAUGGCGGUUUGCAUACAAGCGCCAUGCUCUACCAACUGAUCCCCUGGAUCACUGAUGGUGGAGUCAGUGGACGACGCGGAGGGUCUGUAUGUCGCAGUGGAGAGAUGUCCUCUCUGCAACACCGCCAGGCGCAGGCUGACUUGUGCCCGAUGCAUCCAGGCAGGGGAUUUCGUGUACUUCGACGGUAGAAACCCCGAACUAAAUGUCUGAUGAACCUGCAGGUGCAUUGGUGGAAGAGUGGGGUAACAUCUCAUAGCAAGAACGGGCAAAAUCUGGUGCAGUCCAUGAGGAGGAGAUGCACUGCAGUACUUAAUGCAGCUGGAGUCCACACCUGAUACUGACUGUUACUUUUGAUAUUGACCCCCGCUUUGUUCAGGGAUACAUUAUUCCAUUUCUGUUAGUCACAUGUCUGUGGAAAUUGUUCAGUUUAUGUCUCAGUUGAAUCUAAUGUUCAUACAAAUAUUUACACAUGUUAAAUAAACGCAGUUGACAGUGAGAGGUCAUUUCUUUUUUUGCUGAGUUUAGGACUAUCGGUUACUACAACUUGUUCUAAACUGCCUGUUAAUACAACUCGUACUGUACUGCCUGUUACUACAACUAGUACUGCCUGUUACUACAACUUGUACUGCCUGUUACUACAACUCAUACUGUACUGCCUGUUACUACAACUAGUACUGCCUGUUACUACAAUUCGUACUGUACUGCCGGUUACUACAACUAGCACUCCCUGUUACUACAACUAGCACUCCCUGUUACUACAACUAGCACUCCCUGUUACUACAACUAGCACUCCCUGUUACUACAACUAGCACUCCCUGUUACUACAACUAGUACUGCCUGUUACUACAACUAGUACUGCUUGUUACUACAACUCGUACUGUACUGCCUGUUACUACAACUCAUACUGUCUGUUACUACAACUAGUACUGCCUGUUACAACAACUAGUACUGCUUGUUACUACAACUCGUACUGUACUGCCUGUUACUACAACUCAUACUGUCUGUUACUAUAACUAGUACUGCCUGUUACUACAACUAGUACUGUACUGCCUGUUACUACAACUCAUACUGUCUGUUACUAUAACUAGUACUGCCUGUUACUACAACUAGUACUGUACUGCCUGUUACUACAACUCGUACUGUACUGCCUGUUACUACAACUCAUACUGUCUGUUACUACAACUAGUACUGCCUGUUACUACAACUAGUACUGUACUGCCUGUUACUACAACUCAUACUGUCUGUUACUACAACUAGUACUGUACUGCCUGUUACUACAACUCGUACUGUACUGCCUGUUACUACAACUCAUACUGUCUGUUACUACAACUAGUACUGUACUGCCUGUUACUACAACUAGUACUCCCUGUUACUACAACUAGUACUCCCUGUUACUACAACUAGCACUCCCUGUUACUACAACUAGUACUCCCUGUUACUACAACUAGUACUGCCUGUUACUACAACUAGUACUGCUUGUUACUACAACUCGUACUGUACUGCCUGUUACUACAACUCAUACUGUCUGUUACUACAACUAGUACUGCCUGUUACAACAACUAGUACUGCUUGUUACUACAACUCGUACUGUACUGCCUGUUACUACAACUUAUAGAGUCUGUUAGGAAGAUCACGUAACUUUUUCAGGUAUGACAUCAAAUACAGCUACUUCCAGCUGGUGGAGUCCCUGUCUGGAGCUGUGGGACAGCUUUGGCAUCACAUUCAAUUAGUCUGAUAAUAUACCAGCAAAUGUCUGUAUCUCAAAUGGCAUCUUAUUCCCUUCGAUAGGUAACAUCCCAAAUGGCACCCUAUGUAAAUAAAGUGCUCAGUCUGAAAAACAAA